CGUCUUUUUCUAAAGAGCCCCUGGAAGAUUCAAAUCUCAACCCGCGGUCCUUGGCGUCAUCUGGGAAAGGUGUUUCUUAAUUUUGAAAGCGUAUUUUCUCUCGGCUCAGUUCUAAAUACGUUUUCACUAUUUACAGUUCUGCCACUGGUUUUAAUUUGCUUAUAACAUAUUCAUUUUAAUUCCGAUUUGACCCAUUCAAAUUGCGUUGCGUUCGUAUUCGAAAGAUCUACAUGUUAGUAUACUUAAUUCACCAGUUUGAAACUUUCUAUUUUAGUGAUAUUAUUUAAUUAGUUUCUUAUCUACCAGAAAUCUUAGAAAAAUUAUAACUUCUACGUUUUAACUCCGAUUUUCGUGAACUUUACGUUUAUAUGAUCGUAGCGCUGCGUAGAACAUUUUUAUAAACUUUUAUAUUUGUUUUACCACUGUUUGGUGUAUUGUUCUAAUUAUAGUUUGUCUGCUUCUUGUAUGGUUGUCUACAUUGGAUUGCGUGUUGUUGAUUGAUGAUUGUGAUUAGACGGUGAGCCGUACGUUGGUGAUCAAGAUCAAGCCUUUGAAGACCAGCAGGCUCAGGAGAGCUUUGAUCAAGGCAAGUAUAACUGGAGAUCAUCCUUGUUACCUAUACACCAUUAAUACAAUAUUUAUCAUUUGCAUGUGUCCACCUUGAUGACCUUAGCAAAAAUCAUAGAUGAAUGUUAUCCUGAAUUCCUUGAUACCUAUUUAGAUAUGCAUUUGGGUAGUUCUUGCUAGUGCUUGAUUAUAAUCCAUGAUCUUGUAACAUGAAUAUUUGAAUAUACAAUAAACAAUAAAAUAAGCUUUCCAGCAACUUGAACAUAAAGGGUGGAAAGAACUCUGGCUUUUGCUAGAUUGAUCUUGACCCUCCAUAAGGACUUAUCCCUUGGCAAAAGCUGGGACAACUCGUACAACCAUGAGGGCUACAUGGCUCUGGUUUUAGCUCAGUAUGAGGAUCUUUUUCUAGCUUGUUAGCGGUUACCUUAAAUGGCGUAAGAAUGGCAAGACACGUUGGGUAUAGUGUGGCCUCUGUCCAUGUGUAUAGGCUGCGGGUUAUGUGCCAUGGAAGGGGGGCUCUAUAUCUGCCUGCCGAGUGAAUCUAAUGGCCCUAACUUGUUAGACGAAACCUUUGAAAGGCUUCAUAGUGAUCCCUGCCGACCUCCCUAGGAAGGGGGUUAAGAGACUUGCAACCUCGAGCGAAAGGGUAAAUCACGACUCAUGGGUAAAGAUGUACAACCUCUGCAGAGUGUUAAAUCUGGUAUACUAGCCGUGCCCACGGAUACGGGCGGCCCGGAAAACUGACGGAAUAGACGGACACUGAUGAAUAUGAUUAAUGAUAAUAAAUGAUGGUUUAUUAUGUUGUUUAUAUGUGUUAUUCAUAAUUCUUGUAUACAUUGAUCUUGUGAUUAUGGGAUUAAUUAUGCUACCUUGAUAAUUGCAAUCCAAUAAUUAAAUAUGCUAUCUACAUAUAAAAGCUAAAUGCAGUCAAACCAGUGUCAGCUAUUUGAGCCUCAUGAACCUCUGGUUAUACUUGUUGAGUACGAUAUGUGCUCACUCUUGCAAUUUCCCCCUCACCUCAGGAGAAGUUUUGGGCUUGUGAUCAACUAGUCAGUUGGAUCCUGUAGAGAGAAGUUAAUACCCGAAGUUUAGAGUUGUUUAUCCGCUGUUUGCUAUCAAAGGUUAUCUCUUUUAUACUAAGUACGUUAUAUAUUUAUGCAUUGUCUUUUGAUAUUACCCUUUAUUUGUAGCUAUAUGUGAGAUUUGACCUCUAAAACUCACAUAUGGUGCAUAUCUGGUUUUGUCCUUAAAAUCGGGUAUUACAAAUUGGUAUCAGAGCAAUGCUGACUGUAGAACGCAAGCCUGGUUAGAAAUUGGUCAUCUUAAGGUUUCGGAAUUGUCAUAAAAUCCUUGCUCUAUAAACCUUGGUAUUUUCAUCCAUACUACAUCCCUAUCCUUGCUAUUUGUCUCUACCUUGGUGCUUAUUUUAAACAAAUCUUUGUUCUCAUCUUCACUCCUUGAUUUGGUAUGCUAUUAGAACCUUUUCUUACCACCUUCUUGCGUCUUUGAAACAUCAGCUUUAGGAUCUUUGCCCUUUCUAUGAAGAGAACGAUAGUACGGUAAGUUGAGUCAAUGCUUGGAGUGUGAACCUUUGAUGCUUAGUUUGGUUUGUUAUUAUGCUCAUGCUUGAUUUGGAUCUUUGUAAUGAGUGUAAUGAUCUUGUGGAUUUUCUCUACAAUUUCAUUUAGUCUAUAGGCCUAAGGCAUAAGGAUUAAUGAGCUAAAUAGAUGGGUUUGGUUAAAAUUCUGUUUCUGUCCUUUGUUGUUUUCUGGAGUAGUCUGCAAUAAAUCUGGUACAUCUCAAAAUCUGUUCGUGCAAUGUUCAUCAAAUUUCUCUGGGAGCAACUAGACUUCAAGAUCUUUCUCUGAUCUCAAGAAUCACCCCCGUAUCUAUUUUGAUAUUGGAGUUAUGAAAAUCACAAGAUGAUACAGUGUGCUGUCAAAAAAAAAAACUGGACCAGUUUCGGUUAUUUACUCUUUGAGACAAAUGUAACUAUAGAAUUUGGAAAAGUGAUCUAAAGAAAAGUUGUAGACAAUGUGCUAAGCUUUCUAACGGUAUAAGCUGGAACUCAUUUGGAUAAGUAGAACCCGAGAUAUAAUAUUUACAAUUGGAUGUCUCUGUUCUGUUUCCAAAAUCUGGACAGAUCUGGUAUUUCCCAUUUUCAGCCAAGUUAAAGACAGAAUCUGGGAAAAAGUUGUAGACGGAAGUUGUAUAGGAUUUUCUAAGCUUUUCAAAUAUGUAAGGAUUGUCAUCAUAUGAUUUCUAUGGCUCAUGAUAUGACUGUUUCAAGAUGCUGUGUCUGUGUUGUCAGACUUCCUGGACAGAUUUUAUGUUGGAUUAUCAAACCUUAUUUUAACGUCCGAAUAUGGGGAAGUGAUCAACAAGAAAGUUGUGGAGAAUUUGAUAAGCUUUUCAGCAGUAUAGACCAUAACUCUAUCACGUUGACGGGACAUGAGUUGUAGCUGGUUUACUAAGUUGCUGUUUUUCAUCUCGCGAGGAAUUUCUGAUUACUUGUUCUUGUCUAAGUACAUGAGUUCUCUUGGAUAUCAGAAGCUCUUUUAUGGUAGUUAACCUACUCAUAAGAAUGUUCAAGCCAUCCUUGGUAUCCCCUAGCUGAUCUCAUCUUAAGGGGGGUAGCCAAGCUAUAGAAGUUGCAAGACAAAGGUUUUAUGUGUUCAAGUAAUUUAUUUGGAAGAUCUGUUAUUCCUUUGGUGGACAAGUCCCCAUCAACCACAAAUAUCUUUGCUCAAGAUUGGUUACUCUUUGCACCAAUGAGUUCAGGUAUUCAUCAGGAUUUGUCUUCACAUUGAGCUAUUAACAAAUGGAGGUUCAACUUUCAACAUAUCCAAGACAAGUUGACAUUGAUGAUAUUGGAAAGGGAUAUCGAACAUCUACGGAUGAUUCUUCAGAGAGUUAUGAAACCUUAUUAUUACACCGUGCAUGGCUAGUAAGUUUUGAGCGAACUAAGUUCUCUAAUUGAAUAGGUUGUCUCUGGUGGUGGAAUUAUGGAGAAGUAUAUGUCGAUGCCAAAGCUCUUAGCAUAAAGAGUGUGCUAGUAAAAGUUUGGACAACACCUAGAUUUGAGGAUUUGUGUGCGGAAGUUGAGUGAUAUUACUAACACUACAAAUUUGGUAAUUAUUAGGGCUCACUUUGGAAGAAGGAGAAGAAGGAUUGUGAAAUGGGACGAUGAAAGUAAUAAGGAGAAAGUUGAGUAUAUCAUGGUUGGAAAUGCGUCAGGUUUUAAAUGGAUGGGCAAGGAACAUAUACCCCAGAUAAGCUAUCAGUAAAAAGAAAAACCUUAUCUAUACAAAUUGCAUUGCUAAACUCUUGGGAACAAUUGAUGGAGAUGUUCGGAGUGACAAAGGCACUAGAAUGGUUACUAAGAAGGAGCUACUCAAGGAAGGGAAUAAGGUUCAAAAGCGGAGUAUCUACAUCUCUUUGAUCACCAUCUUCCGAAUCUCGAGGACGAGAUUCAUUUUAAGGGGGGUAGAAUUGUAACGCCCUAAAAUUUGCAUCUUUUGAAAUAGAGUUAAAAUGAUUUAAUUUUGUAUUUUUGUGUUCAUGGAAUAUAAAGAAAUAAUAUUUUUCAUUAAAUUAAAAUUUAUUAUAGGAUUUAGCAACUUGUUUGUGCAUUCAAUUUUUGGGGCAUUUGUUUUAUUGAUUGGUGUGGAUUCAGCUAUAGUUCAAAAUAUUUCAAACAGAUUAAAACAGGAUUUUGAAAUAAGUUUGAAAUGGCUUUUAUAUAAAAAAAGAGAAAAGAAAACCUCUCCCUCUCCUCCCUACUCUCCCCGUGGCCCAACUCCUUUCGGCCCAGGUCACAGCCCAAGCUCUGCAGAUGGCCUGCCUCGCGCCCUCCCCUUCUCUUCUUUCCACUGUCGACCGGGCCCCGCCCGUCGGUGUUCCCCUUCCACUUCCAGACACUGACAGUCCGGCCCCACCUGGCAGUGCCUCAUCCCCUCCCAUCUUCUUCCCAGCGACGUGAGCCGCAUGGACUCGGUUGGGACCGAACCCGAUUCCUUGGGAUUCCUUGCCAAGGAAACAAACCGCGCCCUAUAAAGCUUGGUGCUCGCCCUCGCGACCCCCUUUGGCCAUCUAUCGCACCACGGGAAACCCUAGCCACCUUGAGCAUUGAGUUUGGGAUCUCGCCGGCUUCUUUCCCCUCCUCCCCACGCGGCUAUCCUUUCCUGCUCCUUCCCGGACCAAGAAAAGCUACUAUCCAGAUUCGCGGUGAGAUCCUCCUUCGUCCGGUGUUUUCCUUUUGGUUUCUAGUGCUCUGAUUAGCGAGAACGCCAUCUCCGGCGAGGGUCGCCAAUGGCGCCGCCGCGGGGAGCACCGCUCCGGCGAGGUGGCCGGCCGUUUCUUCCCUGGUGAUCGUGGAGCGUCCGAUCGGAGAUCGACGGCUGAAAUUAAAACGUACCCCUUCGCUGCGUCUUUUUCUAAAGAGCCCCUGGAAGAUUCAAAUCUCAACCCGCGGUCCUUGGCGUCAUCUGGGAAAGGUGUUUCUCAAUUUUGAAAGCGUAUUUUCUCUCGGCUCAGUUCUAAAUACGUUUUCACUAUUUACAGUUCUGCCACUGGUAUUAAUUUGCUUAUAACAUAUUCAUUUUAAUUCCGAUUUGACCCAUUCAAAUUGCGUUGCGUUCGUAUUCGAAAGAUCUACAUGUUAGUAUACUUAAUUCACCAGUUUGAAACUUUCUAUUUUCGUGAUAUUAUUUAAUUAAUUUCUUAUCUACAAGAAAUCUUAGAAAAAUUAUAACUUCUACGUUUUAACUCCGAUUUUCGUGAACUUUACGUUGGUAUGAUCGUAGCGCUGCGUAGAACAUUUUUAUAAACUUCUAUAUUUGUUUUAAAACUGUUUGGUGUAUUGUUCUAAUUAUAGUUUGUCUGCUUCGUGUAUGGUUGUCUACAUUGGAUU
rnacentral:lncRNA from 1 species